UACGAAGGGGGCUAGCGUUGCUCGGAAUUACUGAGCGUAAAGGGCGCGUAGGCGGAUAGUUAAGUUAGAGGUGAAAGCCCAGGGCUCAACCUUGGAAUUGCCUUUGAUACUGGCUAUCUUGAGUUCGGGAGAGGUGAGUGGAAUGCCGAGUGUAGAGGUGAAAUUCGUAGAUAUUCGGCGGAACACCAGUGGCGAAGGCGACUCACUGGCCCGAUACUGACGCUGAGGCGCGAAAGCGUGGGGAGCAAACAGG
rnacentral:rRNA from 1 species